rnacentral:rRNA from 1 species
UACGUAGGGGGCAAGCGUUGUCCGGAAUCAUUGAGCGUAAAGAGCGUGUAGGCGGCCCGGUAAGUCCGCUGUGAAAGUCCAGGGCUCAACCCUGGGAUGCCGGUGGAUACUGUCGGGCUCGAGUCCGGAAGAGGCGAGUGGAAUUCCUGGUGUAGCGGUGAAAUGCGCAGAUAUCGGAAGGAACGCCGGUGGCGAAAGCGGCGUGCUGGACCUCUUCUGACGCUGAGGCGCGAAAGCCAGGGGAGCAAACGGG